GGCCCCCGGCGGCGGCGCCCGCGGGGGACCUGCCGCCGCCGCGCGAGCUCGUGCGGCCCUCGGUGACGGAGCUGUCCCAAGUGAGGACCAACAUCCUGUGCACCGUGCCGGGCUGCGGCAAGGUCCUGCCCAACAGCCCGGCCCUCAACAUGCACCUCAGCAAGGCCCACCGCCUCCAGGAUGGAAAACUUAAUGCACCAAUGAGGAAGGGUUUGAAAACUUCACAGAAAUUCUACUGCUGUCCUAUUGAAGGCUGCCCUAGAGGACCAAACAGACCAUUUUCCCAAUUUUCUCUUGUAAAACAGCACUUUAUGAAGAUGCAUGCUGAAAAGAAGCACAAAUGUGAUAAAUGUAGUAACUCCUAUGGUACAGAAUGGUACUUGAAACGGCAUAUAGAGGACUGUGGCAAGACUUUCCAGUGUACUUGUGGGUGCCCUUAUGCCAGCAGAACAGCAUUACUGUCUCAUAUUUACAGAACUGGCCAUGAAAUUCCUGCAGAACACAGGGAUCCUCCUAGUAAAAAAAGGAAAAUGGAAACCGCCGUACAUAAUCAGCAGUUGGCAGAGAAAGCAAAUGAAGCAUUCAUCAAUACACACAACGAUAAUCCUGGCACUCAGGAACUGGACUCAUCCGAAGUGAAAUUAGUAGCCCCUUUUGAAGGCUCCGGCAGUUCUAACUUUGCUAAGCAAAUGCAGCCAAAAUGUACGCCGAAGAUGCUUUUACCAAAGCCCAAAGUGGCUUUGGUUAAACUUCCAGUGAUGCAGUUUGCUCACUUGCCCAUAUUUGUAUCUGCAACAGACUCUUCUGUCAAACCUGUUGUAGUGGCUGUUGAUAAUCAAGGGUCAGUUAUGAGUACUGUUCAUUUAUUGCCUCAAUCUGUAGGAAUUCUGAUUCCAGCACUGGAGGCAGAAACACUUGUAUUUAAAGACACUAUGCCUGUUUCAAAAGUGACAAAUUCUGGUGAUAAUGAACCAGUAAGUACUGGUGUUCAAGUUAACUUGGAUAAGGUAACAUCAGCUAAUACAGGACAAGAGCUGGGGAAUGUUUGCCACAAGAAUAAAAUUUCUUCCAUAAAUGUACAGACUGACUUAUCUUAUAUUUCACAGAACUUUGUACCAACUGCAGCCUGGACUCCCGAUUCCUCUGUAUCCGCCUGCUCUCAGACAGAUUUGUCAUUCAGUUCACAGGUGUCAUUACCCAUCAGUGUACAAACACAGACACUGCUGCCUGCUUCUAAACUGACUUCAUCCAUAGCUGCUCAGACUGAUGCUUUUAGUCAGGGUUGUUUUCCAACGUGUGGUAUUUCUAGAGAGACUCAAACCAACCGAACACAGAACUCUCUGGAUGGAAGAGUGCAAAUGGACCAGGCUGUAAUGUGCGGUGACAUCUUUGAUAAUGUGCAUUCGUCAUACAGUGUUUCCACUCAGAUUGGACUUCCAGAGAGUAAUUUAAUGACUGGAAAUAUAGAUGAAACCUUGCUGCAAAGGAGUAAUUGCAAGAGCCUGAAUCAGGAUUCCGUGAAGUCGGAAUCCCUUAUCAGCUUCAAUACACAGACUAAUAUACUUCCACCUCAAAAUACAAUGGAUAAUCAAACCCAGACAAUGGACUUACUAAGUGAUCUGGAAAACAUCUUUUCAGGAAACAUGUCUGGCCAGACACUGGAUAGUCGUGGCCUUUUGUCUGAUGCUAGUUCUAAUGCCGACACACAUCUGCCAUCUGGCCCAUCACAGAGCACAGGAAUAGAUUUUGAUAUUGAAGAGUUUUUUUCAGCAUCCAAUAUCCAAACUCAAACUGAAGAGAGUGAGCUUGGUACCCUAAACUCUGAGCCUGUUUUGGAGUCUCUGGACAUCGAAACUCAGACUGAUUUCUUAUUUUCAGACAGUGCCACGCAAUCAUAUAGCUGCAGAGGAAAUUCUAACUUCUUAGGUUUGGAGAUGUUUGAUACGCAGACACAGACAGACUUGAAUUUCUUUUUAGACAGUAAUACCCAUCUGCCUUUAGGCAGUAUUCUGAAGCAGUCUAGUUUUUCCAUGAGCACUGACUCAUCUGAUACAGAAACCCAGACGGAAGUGUAUCCUGCCAUUAAAAAUAUACCUAGCCAGAACAUGGAAAGCAAAGUCCGGUUGAAUAGUGCUGAAACGCAGACUAUGGAUAGUUGCUUUGAGAACUUUGGAAAUUUAUUCCUGACCAGCAAUGAGACACAGACAGCAAUGGAUGACUUUCUUCUGGCUGACUUAGCCUGGAAUACAAUGGAGUCCCAGUUCAGCUCUGUAGAAACACAGACCUGUGCAGAACUGUGCUCCUUGUUUCAGAGCUCUGACAAGUCCAGCCACUGAGCACUGUGUAACAGAACUGUUUCCUGUGGUGUGAAAUUAAGUUAUUGGGGUAGGAGAGAUGGAUCGACCAAGUUAUCCACUUUGCGUUGUUGAAUGUAGCUGUCAUGCACAGUUGGCCUAAGAGGCUUUUCGUGCUGAAGCAGGAAGUCCAGUUGGAACCUGUAAAAGAAGGCUGAGAGACCAGCUCACAGAAGCCCCUUUGGAAGAGUGUGUCCUGCUUUUGCACACUGAUCUGCAGCCCUCAGUGCCAGCAGCUUUUUGGAGAGUUUUCUGAAUAUAAUCAAAUUUAAACAGACUGAUCUGCUGAAGAGAAAUAUAUGUGACCUCAUGGAUUUUUUUUCAUGUUCAUCUUACGCUUUGUACCAAGCUUGUGGUAGAUGCAAUUGCAUGAAAAAAGCCUGCUGUGAAUGUAAGCUGGAAUUUGGCCUUAACUGCUUUUUAUCUUUUACUAUAAUAGCAGAAAAACUGAGGCCUCGGGUUUUGUCUUGGCCAAGUUCUAGUUUCCAUUACCUUAAAUGUCAAGAGCAACUUGGUGUCAAGCUCCUGGGCCUAUAAUAGACUUUACUCCCCUAGUGUAAGGGGAGAGGUAUUGGCUACCUACAUAGUAGGCAGCUCAUCUGUAAUGUCUGUCCAAGCCUUAGUUUUUGAAGACUUGCUGUGCUCUGUGCUUUGCUUCAUAUCCUGUGUUCAAGGAUAGGGGAGUCAGGUUACUCACCCAAUGUAGUGAGCUGCUCUUGUUCGAAGUGAGCGAUAGUUUUCGACUUCUUUGUCUCUUCCUACCACUCUUUGAAUUGUCAUAGUUAAAUCAACACACUCAUAUGGUAAGAAUUUCGACUUAUGCUUGAAAUCAUCUCUGUAAAUUAGCCCAGAAGCUUAUAUCCUGUUUUUCAACAUUUCUAGGUGAGAGCUUGAAGACUUCCACAGUCUUCAGUUAAAGAAACUGCACAGAGGAACCUUGUGGUUCCCUCAGGAGUAUAGUGAUUUUGAGAAAUGUUGUCCCACUCUACCCCAUAUUUCUUAAAGUAAAUGUUGUUUUUAAUGCCACUUUUUUCUGAAGAUAUGACUGAUUCAUAUUUGCCUACCUACUUCCAAAUUGAGAAAUACGAUAAAUGACAGAAUUAGGGUAAUUUAUUCUAUUGCAGUAUUUUUCUGGUAAUGUUGCAACUUUGGGUUUUAAAGUGUUUUUCUCCUCCUCUCUUCCCUGGCUGGAAUACAAGAGAACACUUCUUCGUGCACAGGCGCCUGCAUUUUUCAAUGCGCAGGUUGCCUGCACUGACGGGGAAGCAGUUAUAUAUAAGUCUGAUUCUUGGAUUAUUGCUUUAAAGGAAAUUGGCAGCUGGGGAGAACUGUGCUUUCCACGGCUGUAGGAAGCAGAAGUGAGAAAUUCUUCGUUACCUCUGAAUUUGGAAGCCAGAGUCUUUCUGAAAGAGAAGGAAUCUUAACCAACGAGGAGCAGAAUUCCAGAUGGUUUCAAAUUCUAGCCGUAGCCAUCCGAGAUGCAAGCUAGCAUUUCAAAAACUUUGAAACGAGUUUACAAGUCAGAAUGGGAGUCACCUUGUUUUUUGCAUGUAAGCCAAAGCUCUUAACAUCCUUGACCAGUAGAAAAAAUGUAAGGUUUGUAUGGACACAAAUCUUACAAUGUGAUCAUUACUCAUUUAUUCUGUUUCGUAAUUAAAAGUGUUUAUGAGCUUUGUGCGUUCUAUUAGAAUACAAAAAUACCAUUCUCCUCCCUCAGCUAAAUUUAAUUAGAUUAACACAGUACUACAGCGUGAAAUUAUUUAAUGAAAAUGCAGCAGCAUUAACGCAGUUAAGCAUACCUGUGUUGCCCUAUGGAAUUCGCUCAUUUUGACCAAGAUUAAUUUAUUUUUCACAAAUUUGAUUCCCUAUGAAUUGUUUAUAAAGUCAAAAAUAAUAAACAUAUAUUAGAAAACACUUUGGAUUCUAGACCUCUAGCACAUGUCCUCAUUUAGGAUUUAUUAAAUAUUUUUUUAAAAUGCAGACUGCAAUCAGACUGUUCAUAGUUCUGUUGAAUUCCAGAGUCAACAUAAUGAAACUUGAUCAGAAGUAUUGUUGCUAAAUACUUGUAAUUCCUCAAAAUUAAAUGGGUUCUUCUUUAUAAUAGCUAGUUUUCUGUUUUGGCCUUUGUUUUAUGGAGUUAACUUUAGCCAGAACUAUUUCUUACCAGUAGUAGUAUUAUAUUUAUCUUUGAUUUUUCUGCAAUUUGUCUCUGAUUUGAUUUUCAAGGCACUGUCUCAUAAUAAUAUGAGUUAAUAGUGACUUGUUAUUUUGCUAACUCUGUUUUAUAUGAGUACUCUAUCCUCAACUGCCAUUUGAACUAAGAUAGAGAAAAUAUUACAUCAGAUUCUCCAUAGCCUCUUAGCACAAAUUUUUAUUUAGAAGCACUAACUACUAUUACUUGCCCUAACUCUUUGCACUUCCUACUUAAUUCUAAGUUACGCUGUGAUUGUUGGAUCUCUUAUGCUUGUGUAAUACUGCUCUGAGAUUAAAUUAGUCCAUAGUUUUGUAGGCUCAUUUGAGCUUUUCUUCAUUAUUUGAAGUUAGUCCAAGAUUUACUAAUAUGUAUCAACCUGCUGCUUCACCAAGUUCAGCGGUUUGUCCCUGGGAAAGAUAGUAGCCCGGUACUACAGGGAAGAAUGGAAAAUGCCUGUAAGGGCUGUUAACAAGUUACUUCAAUAGAUAAGACUGUUCUCAACGACUUCACUGGACUUGUGGAUCAUUUGGUUUUCAGCAAAAGCUUUCCUCCUCGCGGGCCCGGAGAGGCUGAGCGCGCGGCGUCCUGCGCGGCGUUGCUCGGGAAAGGUCGGUUUGCUAGCUGUGCCGUCUGGCGGAGCCCGCUUGCUCGAGGCAGGGUCGAACUGAGCACGGCCUCCGUCUCACACGGUUCUCUGGGCAGAUGAAGAUAAACAGGAGAGUCGCAGAUACUCUCUAAUAGAUUUCUGUGAUGUUUAAGAAUAAUGCAGUUGCGUACACAUUUAAGUUGUACAUUUAAAUUCUUCAAUUUGGCCUUCUGGAAAAAUGAAUGGUGCCUGUUUGGUAGAGUAGUGCAGUGGCAGAUGUGAGCCUCCACUGGCAAUUUGCACAUGUGUGUGUAUGCAAAAUUGAGUAGAUUGAUUUGAAACUUUGGGCUUUUGAGAGAAUGCUGACAGUUUAUAGAAGGUAAACAUGUUCUGUUCUCAAGGUGUAUAUAAAAAAAAAAAUCAAAUCUGGGACACAUUCCUUCCACAGUUUAUGAGAACACGAGCACAGAACAACUGAAAAAUGAGAGGUCUGUCUUGUUGCCUUCCAUGUUUGUCACUUCAUGCUAAGAAUUUGUCUAACUGGAUAUAUGUUUCUACUUAUAUUUGCAUCUACUUAUGCUAAUAUGCUUGUAAAUACUUCUUGCUGUGGUAGGGAGGUAAUCCUCUCCCUCAACUCUUCAUGCCAGCCUAAGAGAUAUCAGUAGUUUAAAGUUAGUUUAUUAACUCUGUAUGUUCUUAGCUAUGCAAAGUCGUGUCUAGAAAAUUCUCUCUUCUGAAGGGUAUAUAAGUUAAACAACUGUAAAACAAGCCCUGUGAGACCUCUUCUGAUUUUAAACAGUUCAAUCAGCGUCCGUAACUUAGCAACGUACUUAACUAGUGCUCCUUACCACAGUUCUAUUCCUAGGCACGCUCUCAGUCAUUUUUUUACGUUGAAAAGAGAAGGGUAAAUUUCCCUGCUACCCCCUAUGUACCUUGAGAGCGUAGAGGCGACAGAACCAACUUCCCUGAACAAAGAUUACUGCCUUCCGCUGUUUUCAGUCCUUACCCUGCUAACACAUGCUCAUAUGUUAGGGUCAGAUGUGAAUUGAUUUUGGUAGGACUAGGUAAAAAGCUGUAUGUGUUGGCAUGAUUCAGAUCUAAGUUUUUUAAUAAUCUUUCAAACACUGGAUAAGUAGAUGAUAAGACUAAUAUAAUUACGUACUGAAUCGAUACAAGGUGCUCAACUUGCAAAAGAAUAUUUGUUAUUGAAAUGACAACUCAGAGGUGAACCAAACUUUUAUUUGCCUUUAUCAUUAAGGUGUAAAGCUUCCUUUGCUUUAAUCUGGUUUUGACAUGUUUUUUAAAACAUGAUCUUAAUGUACAAUUCACUGUUCCAAAUAUGUUGACACCAAAACAUUGCUAACAUUGUGGGCCUUGCAGUUUUUUCAUUCAUGUUUGUUAUAAGGUGCUGCUAUGCCUGUGUUCUUAAUAGAAUAGAUCUACUGUAAACAGGCUUCGAUUUAUAAUAUUGUGUAAACACUAUGAAGAUAGGGUUGUUUAAUGGUAGUAAGCUGCUUUUCCAAUUCAUUGUGCAAACUUGCAACUUCCGUUUUUUGUUUUUGUUUUUUUUUUUUAAACAAAGUUGAUGUGAAUCAAAGUGUGCGUGCUUGAAGGAUUUGCUGCUUAGAGCAUGACUGAAUUUUAUUGUUCAAAAUGCCAUUGCUAUGCAAUGAACAGAAUCAAGGAGCCCCACAUCAUUCAACUCUGUAUUGCCUUGCAGUUGGGUUGAUGUUAGGUUUGUCUGAGUGUAUGUGACUCUUCCACAUCACUGAAAAUGUAAUUGAAGAGUCUUGAAAUAGUAGAAGUUCUUGAAGGAGCUGCUGAUCUUCAGUUAAACAACAGAAGUCCUUUACUUCUGAUUCUUUUUCAUAUAUUGGCUUUUUAGCAGUAUCUCCAACAUAACCAGUAACAGAAUAUAAUAGAUGACCUGUGAUGAUGUAAACUGUGUAGCUCCCAUUUCACCAUGAGUAAUGCUUUACAUGCAUGCUUCAAGCACUUGCAUGCAGAGCUAACUUGACCAUACUUCUAUAUACACAGUAUUUACAAAUGCAUCUCAUAAAAUAAAGCUGGAUACAAAAAAUAGCCAUAUUUUUCAGCUUACAGAAUUGAACACCGGAUUGUGAUCUGAUUUAAACUUUUAAUUAUUUGGAAUGGAUGAGUAAUAAGUCUCAUGGGUGAGUCUUUCCCAAAGCUUGUGUGAGCCAAUCUCAGUAAGGCUGAGAACUGUCCUUAGAAUGUUUUUCUUCUCAUCACUGUUGAGAUUUUCAUCUAACGGAGGAAUUUAGUUUCCAAAGGAUGUUCAUGUUUGAUUCUUGCUAUUUAAGCCAAUAAACUUGCAAUGAACAGAAAAAAGCAAAUGUUCAUUUCUUAUAUCUAUUUUACAAGUGACAAUCCCAAAGAAGGAAUGUUGUCUUAAUAAUUGUGAAACUUUUAAGGAUAACGCAUGCAAAGAAAACCCUGUGCCAAAAUACUAUUUCAUAUUUCCCUGUAUUGGAAACUGAAAUGUUACAUGAAUUUACUAGUAAGUUAUUCACAAGUGUUUAACCAUUUUGUUCACCAGUGAAGCACUUCUUUACUCUUGUAAAUUAUACAUAUUUUGGAAUAAAGUCAACUUCAAUCUA